GGGGUUGUAGGCAGUCCCUGGGGGAAAGCUAAGGGCAGCAGCCCAGGGUGGGGUUAAUCUGCUGAGGCAGAAAGCCUGAGCCAGGAGACUGAAAAGGGCUGAGGGUGAGGAGAGAAGCUUAGUAGAGGGACAGUCUGGUGCUUUUCUCCACGCAGAGGCUUAGAAGUGAGGAGGAAGCCUGUGGUGGUCUCUAGCUGGGGUGGCUGUUUUGGCUAGAAGAACAGGUGGGGAGCCAUGGAGUGCUGUGAGUGGCAGAGCCCACCGGAGCUGGCAUAGUAGGAAGGGGAAAGGGCAGGGCUGAGCUGUUGCUCUGAGUUGCAUUGUGCCGGGCUCAGGUCCUAUGACUGCCCCUGCACAUCCCGAGCUGUGGAUUGUGGGCUAUUAUCAGCCACUGAAGCCAUGCGAACUACAGGUCCCAGAGUGCAUGUUUUCUCUACUUACCGAAUUAAGCUGCCUUACCCACAGCUUUCCGGAUGAUGGAAGAGAAUCUGCUGAGCGGACCCCAGCUGUGGCUUGGCAGGCAGAGCGAAGGAGGGAAGGGCCCUGGAGUAAAGUACUGAUUGGUGUCUGUCACUGUCGUGAUUGGACAAGGAGGGAGGGUCACCAGAGUCUCCCAGCUUUGCCUAACUGUCUGGUCUGUGAGCCUGAUGUUGCCUAGACCCAUGAUCCCAGAGCUGAUCUUAACUUCUCUGGUCUGAGGGCUGGAUUAUGGGCUGUGAUGAGAGCUCCCUUCCUAGGCAGUGCUGUGCCCAGCUGUACAAUCUCCUAUAUGGUGCCGAGGGCCAGUUCUGGGGAGGGAGGGGGCAUAACGAAGGGAAAGGGAGUAGUGUUCUCUCCUCUUCCUUGCUAAUCUAGCUUUCAACAGAUCCAGGAUUGCCCUGAUUUCUCAGGCCCUGAUCCUCAGCUGGUGGAACUUGGUCGACCUCUGUUGAAAUCAAUGGAGUGAUGUUCAUUUAAACCACCUGAGCAGCUGAUAAUUCCUGAGCUCUCCUUCCUGCUGAGAUCA